rnacentral:lncRNA from 1 species
CACACAUCUUCACAUUCCCCAUGCUAUCCCUGAAUCCAAGGGCUUCAAUGAGGCGAGAGGAGCCUUAACCGACAGCUGGGU